GUUGUCGUGGCCAAGGGUUAAGUCGAUGGACUAGCAAUCCAUUGGGGUCUCCCUGCGCAGGAUUGAAUCCUGCCGACAACG